rnacentral:rRNA from 1 species
GGGGGGGGGAAACGCCGGCCCAUGUUCCUUGGAACAGGACGUCACAGAGGGUGAGAAUCCCGUGCCCGGCCGGCUGCCUCCUCCCGCGUGAAGGGCCUUCGACGAGUCGAGUUGUUUGGGAAUGCAGCUCCAAUUGGGUGGUAAAUUUCAUCUAAGGCUAAAUACCGGCGGGAGACCGAUAGCGCACAAGUAGAGUGAUCGAAAGAUGAAAAGCACUUUGAAAAUAGAGUCAAAAAGUACGUGAAAUUGUUGAAAGGGAAGCGCUCGAGACCAGACUCAGGCCCGGGCAAACAUCUCGCCCCUCGGGGAAGUGCAAUUGCCCGGGGCUGGGCCAGCAUCAGUUGGCGUGGCGGGACAAAGGCGCGGGGAAUGUGGCUCGCCUCGGGGAGUGUUAUCAGUCCCGUGCUCAAUGCCGCCGACGCCGACUGAGGACCGCGCCUCGGCUAGGAUGCUGGCUUAAUGGCCUCCAGCGACCCGUCUUGAAACACGGACCAAGGAGUCUAACAUCUAUGCGAGUGUUUGGGUGCCAAACCCUUGCGCGGAAUGAAAGUGAGCGGAGGUGGGAACUUCCCCCCCCCUCGCGGGGGGGUGCACCAUCGACCGAUCCUGAUGUCUUCGGAUGGAUUUGAGUAGGAGCAUAGCUGUUGGGACCCGAAAGAUGGUGAACUAUGCCUGAAUAGGGUGAAGCCAGAGGAAACUCUGGUGGAGGCUCGCAGCGGUUCUGACGUGCAAAUCGAUCGUCAAAUUUGGGUAUAGGGGCGAAAG